rnacentral:rRNA from 1 species
AGAUUGCCUCAGUAUCGGCGAGAGAAGCGGCAAGAGCCCAAGUGAAAAUCGGCAACUUGCAGUUGUUCGAAUUGUAAUCUGUAGGAUUAAUACCAAACUAGUCAGGGACGCGGAAAUGUCUUUGAAAGGACUGCCAGAGAGGGUGAGAGCCCCGUCUGUAGUGUCGCUGUAGGCUAGGUAUUGGUCCAAAGAGUCGGGUAGUUUUGUACUGCUGCCCUAAUUGGGAGAUAAACUUCUUCUAAGGCUAAAUACAUCCAGGAAACCGAUAGCGAACAAGUACUGUGAAGGAAAGAUGAAAAGAACUUUGGAAAAAGAGUUAACAGAUUUGAAACUGUUGAGAAGGAAGCGGUAGAAAUUUAUCAUUUGUCAUGGGCCCGCGUCCCUGCGUAUCCUCUGUAGUGUGUAGUACUGUCAAAAGGCUGCUAGCUGCAUCAGGAGUAGCGGUGGUUUGAGUCCUUGGCAUUAGGCAAGAUGGGCUUGGGCGCCUUCAAAAGCUGUUUGUAGAGCUUGUCAUUUUUGGCUUGACUACUUAUGUGCUGGGAGGCGUCUAGGCUGAGGGGUUUUGUACGAUUUUGCCAAAAUGGUUUUUACCGACCCGUCUUGAAACACGGACCAAGGAGUCUAACUUAUGUGCGAGUGUGCUGGUGUAGAAACCGACACGCAAAAUUAACGUGAACUGGUGCCAGUCUUCGGAUGCAGCAUCGGCCGACCAUGAUUCUUUGAUGAAAGGUUUGAGUAUGAGCACAUAGGCUAGGACCCGAAAGAUGGUGAACUAUGCCUGAGUAGGGUGAAGCCAGGGGAAACUCUGGUGGAGGCUCGAAGCGAUUCUGACGUGCAAAUCGAUCGUCAAACUUUGGUAUAGGGGCGAAAGACUAAUCGAACCAUCUAGUAGCUGGUUCCCUCCGAAGUUUCCCUCAGGAUAGCUGAGACAAAUUUAGCAGUUUUAUUAGGUAAAGCGAAUGAUUAGAGUGUUUUCGGGGAAUCAAAUUCCUCGGCCUAUUCUCAAACUUUAAAUUGGUAAGAACUCCGGGCUAGGCUUAAGUGAGUCACGGAGGUAGAAUGCUUGUCUCAAGUGGGCCAUUUUUGGUAAGCAGAACUGGCGAUGAGGGAUGAACCUAACGUAGAGUUAAGGUGCCCAACUGUACGCUCAUCAGAUACCACAAAAGGUGUUGAUUCAUUUAGACAGCAGGACGGUGGCCAUGGAAGUCGGAAUCCGCUAAGGAGUGUGUAACUACUCACCUGCCGAAUGGAUUAGCCCUGAAAAUUGAUGGCGCUUAAGCGUACGACCGAUACUCUACCAAUGCUACGAGAGUGCUGUGGCAUUGAGUAGGAGGGCGUGAGCGUUGUGGAGAAGCCCCUGGCGUGAGCCUAGGUUGAACAGCGCUUAGUGCAGAUCUUGGUGGUAGUAGCAAUUAUUCAAAUGAGAACUUUGAAGGCCGAAGUGGAGAAGGUUUCCGUGAGAACAGCAAUUGGUCACGGGUGACUCGAUCCUAAGACAUUGGGGAUUUCCUUGCAAAUGUGCUUUAUGCACGCAGUCGAAAGGGAAUGAGGUUAAUAUUCCUCAAGCUGGAUGUGGACGUUAUAAUGGCAACAUGAACGAGCUCUGAGACGCCAGCGCGUGCCCUUGGAAGAGUUAUCUUUUCUUUUUAACUGCUUAAUGACCUUGGAGUCGGAUUAUCCGGAGAGAAGGUUAUACGGCAGGAAGAGCGUCUCGCUUUUUGAGACGUCAGGUGCGCCCGCGAUGGCCCUUGAAAAUCAGAGUGAGAAAUAUUGCACACCAGGUCGUACCCACAACCGCAUCAGGUCUCCAAGGUU